GACGAACGCUGGCGGCGUGCUUAACACAUGCAAGUCGAACGGUGAAAGCGGAGCUUGCUCCGCUGGAUCAGUGGCGAACGGGUGUGUAACGCGUGGGCAACCUGCCCCUCACUUCGGGAUAACUCCGGGAAACCGGGGCUAAUACCGGAUAUGACCUCCUUGGGCAUCCUUGGAGGUGGAAAGUUUUUCGGUGAGGGAUGGGCCCGCGGCCUAUCAGCUUGUUGGUGAGGUAGUGGCUCACCAAGGCGACGACGGGUAGCCGGCCUGAGAGGGCGACGGGCCACACGGGGACUGCGACACGGCCCAGACUCCUACGGGAGGCAGCAGUGGGGAAUAUUGCGCAAUGGGCGAAAGCCUGACGCAGCAACGCCGCGUGCGGGAUGACGGCCUUCGGGUUGUAAACCGCUUUCAGCAGGGAAGAAGCCGCAAGGUGACGGUACCUGCAGAAGAAGCACCGGCUAACUACGUGCCAGCAGCCGCCGCGG
rnacentral:rRNA from 1 species